rnacentral:rRNA from 1 species
UGCGUGGGUGAACAAGCGGAAGCAUCAUUAUCAAGUUUGAACCGGGUUGUAGCUGGCCUUCCGAGGCAUGUGCACGCCCUGCUCAUCCACUCUACACCUGUGCACUUACUGUGGGCUUCAGAUUGCGAGGCACGCUCUUUACCGGCCUUGCGGUGCAUAUCUGUGCCUGCGUUUAUCACAAACUCUAUAAAGUAACAGAAUGUGUAUUGUGAUGUAACACAUCUAUAUACAACUUUCAGCAACGGAUCUCUUGGCUCUCGCAUCGAUGAAGAACGCAGCGAAAUGCGAUAAGUAAUGUGAAUUGCAGAAUUCAGUGAAUCAUCGAAUCUUUGAACGCACCUUGCGCUCCUUGGUAAUCCGAGGAGCAUGCCUGUUUGAGUGUCAUGAAAUCUUCAACCUACAAGCUUUUGUGGUUUGUAGGCUUGGACUUGGAGGCUUGUCGGCCGUUAUCGGUCGCCUCCUCUUAAAUGCAUUAGCUUGGUUCCUUGCGGAUCGGCUCUCGGUGUGAUAAUGUCUACGCCGCGACCGUGAAGCGUUUGGCGAGCUUCUAACCGUCUUAUAAGACAGCUUUAUGACCUCUGACCUCAAAUCAGGUAGGACUACCCGCUGACCUUAAGCAUAUCAUUAAGCCGAGAA